rnacentral:misc_RNA from 1 species
AAGUCGUAACAAGGUUUCCGUAGGUGAACCUGCGGAAGGAUCAUUAAUGAAUUUAACUGGUUGGGUUGAUGCUGGUUCCUUGGAACAUGUGCACACCUGCCACCAUUCUUCAACCACCCUGUGCACCUUUUGUAGGCUUAAGAAACUAUGCUCGAGGCAACUCGGUUGUGAGAACUGCUGUGCUUCCGUUCAGGAAAAAGCCAGCUGCUCUUGAGUUUCUCAGUCUAUGUCUUUACCACAACACUCCAUAUGUAUGUCUUUGAAUGUAUUUGUUGGGCCUUUCGAGUGCCUCUAGAACUUAAUACAACUUUCAACAACGGAUCUCUUGGCUCUC